rnacentral:rRNA from 1 species
CCUACGGGGAGCAGCAGUAGGGAAUCUUCCACAAUGGGCGCAAGCCUGAUGGAGCAACACCGCGUGAGUGAAGAAGGGUUUCGGCUCGUAAAGCUCUGUUGUUGGAGAAGAACGUGCGUGAGAGUAACUGUUCACGCAGUGACGGUAUCCAACCAGAAAGUCACGGCUAACUACGUGCCAGCAGCCGCGGUAAUACGUAGGUGGCAAGCAUUAUCCGGAUUUAUUGGGCGUAAAGCGUGCGCAGGCGGUUGCUUAGGUCUGAUGUGAAAGCCUUCGGCUUAACCGAAGAAGUGCAUCGGAAACCGGGCGACUUGAGUGCAGAAGAGGAGAGUGGAACUCCAUGUGUAGCGGUGAAAUGCGUAGAUAUAUGGAAGAACACCAGUGGCGAAAGCGGCUCUCUGGUCUGUAACUGACGCUGAGGUUCGAAAGCGUGGGUAGCAAACAGGAUUAGAUACCCUAGUAGUC